rnacentral:rRNA from 1 species
UACGUAGGUGGCGAGCGUUGUCCGGAUUUACUGGGCGUAAAGGGAGCGUAGGCGGACUUUUAAGUGAGAUGUGAAAUACUCGGGCUCAACUUGAGUGCUGCAUUUCAAACUGGAAGUCUAGAGUGCAGGAGAGGAGAAUGGAAUUCCUAGUGUAGCGGUGAAAUGCGUAGAGAUUAGGAAGAACACCAGUGGCGAAGGCGACCUGCUAGAACAUAACUGACGCUGAUGCGCGAAAGCGUGGGGAGCAAACAGG